UUUGUGACUUUGGGGACUAGGUCUCUUUGC
rnacentral:piRNA from 1 species